UACGGGGGGGGGCAAGCGUUGUUCGGAAUUACUGGGCGUAAAGUGUGCGCAGGCGGCCGCGCAAGUCGAGUGUGAAAGCCCCGAGCUUAACUUGGGAAUUGCGCUCGAAACUACGUGGCUGGAGUGUGGCAGAGGAAGGUGGAAUUCCUGGUGUAGCGGUGAAAUGCGCAGAUAUCAGGAAGAACACCAAUGGCGAAAGCAGCUCUCUGGGACGGUACUGACGCUGAGACGCGAAAGCGUGGGGAGCGAACAGG
rnacentral:rRNA from 1 species